rnacentral:rRNA from 1 species
UACUACAUGCAGUCGAGCGAAUGGAUUAAGAGCUUGCUCUUAUGAAGUUAGCGGCGGACGGGUGAGUAACACGUGGGUAACCUGCCCAUAAGACUGGGAUAACUCCGGGAAACCGGGGCUAAUACCGGAUAACAUUUUGAACCGCAUGGUUCGAAAUUGAAAGGCGGCUUCGGCUGUCACUUAUGGAUGGACCCGCGUCGCAUUAGCUAGUUGGUGAGGUAACGGCUCACCAAGGCGACGAUGCGUAGCCGACCUGAGAGGGUGAUCGGCCACACUGGGACUGAGACACGGCCCAGACUCCUACGGGAGGCAGCAGUAGGGAAUCUUCCGCAAUGGACGAAAGUCUGACGGAGCAACGCCGCGUGAGUGAUGAAGGCUUUCGGGUCGUAGAACUCUGUUGUUAGGGAAGAACAAGUGCUAGUUGAAUAAGCUGGCACCUUGACGGUACCUAACCAGAAAGCCACGGCUAACUACGUGCCAGCAGCCGCGGUAAUACGUAGGUGGCAAGCGUUAUCCGGAAUUAUUGGGCGUAAAGCGCGCGCAGGUGGUUUCUUAAGUCUGAUGUGAAAAGCCCACGGCUCAACCGUGGAGGGUCAUUGGAAACUGGGAGACUUGAGUGCAAAAUUAGGAAAGUGGAAUUCCAUGUGUAGCGGUUAAAAUGCGUAAAAGAUAUGGAGGAAACACCAGUGGCGAAAGGCGAACUUUUCUGGUCUGGUAACUGAACACCUAGAGGGCGCGAAAAGGGUGGGGGAAGCACACCGGGAUUAGAAUACCCCUGGGUAGUCCACGCCCGUAAACCGAUGAGUGCCUAAGAGUUAGAAGGGUUUCCCGCCCCUUUAGGGGCUGAAGGUUAACGGCAUUAAGGCACUCC